GCUUAUGGGAGGGGAUGCUUCAUCGAGACGGUACCGGGAGAGGAAGCCCCGGCUAACUACGUGCCAGCAGCCGCGGUAAUACUAGGGGCAAGCGUUGUCCGGAAACACUGGGCGUAAAGGGUGCGUAGGCGGUUUUGCAAGUCUGAAGUGAAAGUUCAGGGCUUAACCCUGAGAGUGCUUUGGAAACUGUAGAACUGAGUGCUGGAGAGGCAAGGGGAAUUCCACGUGUAGCGGUGAAAUGCAUAAGAUGUGGAGAAAACCAGUGCCAAGCG
rnacentral:rRNA from 1 species